CUUCAGCGAGCCGAGCCACAGGGGCCGGUCGGCGGGGCGCUCCUUGCCGUAGGUGGCGAUGAGGGCCUGCGCCUC
rnacentral:antisense_RNA from 1 species